rnacentral:ncRNA from 2 species
CGCAGUGACACGGGGUGCUUUCCCCUCCCGGGGAAGGCUGAGAUGACACCCGUCGAACCUGAUCCAGUCAACACUGGCGAAGGGAUGUCCGGUCCUCGCACG